GCGCAGCAGGCGCGAAACUUUACAAUGCGGGAAACCGCGAUAAGGGGACACCGAGUGCCAGCAUAUUAUGUUGGCUGUCCACAUGUGUAAACGGCAUGUGUUAGCAAGGGCCGGGCAAGACCGGUGCCAGCCGCCGCGGUAACACCGGCGGCCCGAGUGGUAAUCACUUUUAUUGGGUCUAAAGGGUCCGUAGCCGGUUUGAUCAGUUCUUCGGGAAAUCUGACAGCUCAACUGUUAGGCUUCCGGGGAAUACUGUCAGACUUGGGACCGGGAGAGGUAAGAGGUACUACAGGGGUAGGAGUGAAAUCUUGUAAUCCCUGUGGGACCACCAGUGGCGAAGGCGUCUUACCAGAACGGGUCCGACGGUGAGGGACGAAAGCUGGGGGCACGAACCGGAUUAGAUACCCCGUAGU
rnacentral:rRNA from 1 species